rnacentral:rRNA from 2 species
UGGGGGAUAUUGCACAAUGGGCGAAAGCCUGAUGCAGCGACGCCGCGUGGGGGAUGAAGGCUUUCGGGUUGUAAACCUCUUUCGCUAUCGAACAAGGCCCGCUUAGGGUGGGUUGAGGGUAGGUGGAGAAGAAGCGCCGGCUAACUACGUGCCAGCAGCCGCGGUAAUACGUAGGGCGCGAGCGUUGUCCGGAAUUAUUGGGCGUAAAGGGCUUGUAGGCGGCUUGUUGCGCCUGCUGUGAAAACGCGGGGCUUAACUUCGCGCGUGCAGUGGGUACGGGCAGGCUUGAGUGUGGUAGGGGUGACUGGAAUUCCAGGUGUAGCGGUGGAAUGCGCAGAUAUCUGGAGGCACACCGAUGGCGAAGGCAGGUCACUGGGCCAUUACUGACGCUGAGGAGCGAAAGCAUGGGUAGCGAACAGG